GAUGAACGCUAGCUACAGGCUUAACACAUGCAAGUCGAGGGGAAACGAUAGAGAAGGCUUGCUCUUUCUAGGCGUCGACCGGCGCACGGGUGAGUAACGCGUAUCCAACCUGCCCACCACUUGGGAAUAACCUUGCGAAAGUAAGACUAAUACCCAAUGAUAUCUCUAGAAGACAUCUGAAGGAGAUUAAAGAUUUAUCGGUGAUGGAUGGGGAUGCGUCUGAUUAGCUUGUUGGCGGGGUAACGGCCCACCAAGGCGACGAUCAGUAGGGGUUCUGAGAGGAAGGUCCCGCACAUUGGAACUGAGACACGGUCCAAACUCCUACGGGAGGCAGCAGUGAGGAAUAUUGGUCAAGGGGCGAGAGCCUGAACCAGCCAAGUAGCGUGCAGGAUGACGGCCCUAUGGGUUGUAAACUGCUUUUAUAAGGGAAUAAAGUGAGCCUCGUGAGGCUUUUUGCAUGUACCUUAUGAAUAAGGACCGGCUAAUUCCGUGCCAGCCGCCGCCGUAA
rnacentral:rRNA from 1 species